CACGUAAGGGGCGAGCGUAGUUCGGAAGUAUUGGGCGUAAAGGGCGCGUAGGCGGUCCUGUAAGCCCGGCGUGAAAACCUGGAGCUCAACUCCGGGCCUGCGCUGGGAACUGCGGGACUAGAGUCAUGGAAGGGAAGUUGGAAUUCCAGGUGUAGGGGUGAAAUCUGUAGAUAUCUGGAAGAACACCGGUGGCGAAGUCGAACUUCUGGACAAUGACUGACGCUGAGGCGCGAAAGUGCGGGGAGCAAACAGG
rnacentral:rRNA from 1 species